CCAGCAGCUGCGGUAAUUCCGGCUCCAAUAGCGUAUAUUUAAGUUGUUGCAGUUAAAAAGCUCGUAGUUGGAUUUCGGGUGGGUUCUAGCGGUCCGCCUCUGGUGUGUACUGCUAUGGCUCACCUUUCUGUCGGGGACCAGCUCUUGGGCUUCACUGUCCGGGACUGGGAAUCGGCGAGGUCACCGUGAGUAACUCGUAGUGUUCAAAGCAAGCAUUCGCUCUGAGCGCAUUAGCAUGGAAUGACAAUAUAGGACUCUGGCCUAUCUUGUUGGUCUGUAGGACUGGAGUAAUGAUUAAGAGGGACAGUCGGGGGCAUUCGUAUUUCAUUGUCAGAGGUGAAAUUAUUGGAUUUAUGAAAGAAGAACUACUGCGAAAGCAUUUGCCAAGGAUGUUUUCAUUAAUCAAGAACGAAAGU
rnacentral:rRNA from 1 species